rnacentral:rRNA from 1 species
AGUGAACGCUGGCGGUAGGCCUAACACAUGCAAGUCGAACGGCAGCACAGUAAGAGCUUGCUCUUACGGGUGGCGAGUGGCGGACGGGUGAGGAAUACAUCGGAAUCUACUUUUUCGUGGGGGAUAACGUAGGGAACCUUACGCUAAUACCGCAUACGACCUACGGGUGAAAGCAGGGGAUCUUCGGACCUUGCGCGAUUGAAUGAGCCGAUGUCGGAUUAGCUAGUUGGCGGGGUAAAGGCCCACCAAGGCGACGAUCCGUAGCUGGUCUGAGAGGAUGAUCAGCCACACUGGAACUGAGACACGGUCCAGACUCCUACGGGAGGCAGCAGUGGGGAAUAUUGGACAAAGGGCGCAAGCCUGAUCCAGCCAUACCGCGUGGGUGAAGAAGGCCUUCGGGUUGUAAAGCCCUUUUGUUGGGAAAGAAAAGCAGCAGGUUAAUACCCCGCUGUUCUGACGGUACCCAAAGAAUAAGCACCGGCUAACUUCGUG